rnacentral:rRNA from 1 species
GAUGAACGCUGGCGGCGUGCCUAAUACAUGCAAGUCGAGCGAACAGACGAGGAGCUUGCUCCUCUGACGUUAGCGGCGGACGGGUGAGUAACACGUGGAUAACCUACCUAUAAGACUGGGAUAACUUCGGGAAACCGGAGCUAAUACCGGAUAAUAUAUUGAACCGCAUGGUUCAAUAGUGAAAGACGGUUUUGCUGUCACUUAUAGAUGGAUCCACGCCGCAUUAGCUAGUUGGUAAGGUAACGGCUUACCAAGGCAACGAUGCGUAGCCGACCUGAGAGGGUGAUAGGCCACACUGGAACUGAGACACGGUCCAGACUCCUACGGGAGGCAGCAGUAGGGAAUCUUCCGCAAUGGGCGAAAGCCUGACGGAGCAACGCCGCGUGAGUGAUGAAGGUCUUCGGAUCGUAAAACUCUGUUAUUAGGGAAGAACAAAUGUGUAAGUAACUAUGCACGUCUUGACGGUACCUAAUCAGAAAGCCACGGCUAACUACGUG